GGAUAUGGUUGCUGAAGUACACCACUUUUCAUCUCGCCAGGACUGGCUACAAAUGAAGCAGCUGCAUACAAUUGGCAGAGUUUCCAAGGCCAAGACAGCGCAGAUAUGCAUCAAUUCAGGAGGAAAUGGAGAAUUGGAUCUGGAGUCAGGGAUAACACAAAUGAAGCGCAGAGAAUUGAAGUGACCUGCCCAACAUCACACUGCUAAUGAGCAGAAGAGUCAAGACAUCUCUUGACUUCCAGUACAUGUUUCUUACUACCAUGCUACACGGACACUAAUGGAAGAGUGUCUGUUUUUUA